ensembl:lncRNA
CCUUAUUCUGGUUUAUGCUGGCUGACAGGAAAUGAGAUGAACUGAAAUGACAUUUACCUCUUUAUGACUCAUCUGCUAGCUGUGCUGGGCAAAGGCCCUCGAUUGUACAAACACAGCAGUUUAAAAAAAAAUGCCUUUGGCGUAAGUGCAAACUUAGAUUAUCGGGUUGUAUUUUAAAGCCCCAGUGUGUGUCUUGCAUGUUACUGACCUUAAACUUUAGUGUUUCGUAUUGAUUUUUUUUUUUUUAAGCUCAUCUGGCUAAAGGUUCAGUGCGCUUACGCCAUGGCGAGGCGUCCGUCGUCCGUUUGUCCCACCGCAAUUCACAAGAAUCCGUACUCCUCCCAGAGUACUGGUCGGAUUUUAAUGACUAAUCACUACCUGAUGUGUCUGCACCCACACUGCUCAAGGUCAAAGCUAUACAAGUCAUUUUUACAAGAAUGGCUACUCCUCCUGGAGUAUUGGUCUGACUUUAGUGAAGCAAGGCUAGAUAAUCCUGGAUACGACUGUUUGCGAGCCUCCUUGACUUCUCCCUCGACUUUAAUUCUCAUUCAUUUGUGCAACAAAAGCUGCACAGCUUUCUUUCUGUACUUCACACAUUACAACAACCUUUGAACUGUGAUGGAUCAUGAAGCAAAUGAGCUGUAAUGUCACUGACGCUCUGGUUAGUGAGUGUUUAGUUUUUUACAUUUUAUUGUAGAUUUUAAUUAGGAUAAUCGUCUUAAGGGGCAUCAUUCUGUUUUAGAUUUUACACUUAGAAAAGAGGCCAAAAAACACAAUUUUUACAUGGCAUCCUCUUGAUAUUAGUUUAGCAAGUAUCCAUCCACUUUCUUCCGCUUAGCUGGAGCCUAUGCCAGUUGCCAUAGAGCAGGAGGUGGGGUACACUCUGGACAGGUUGCCAGUCUCAUAUUCAUAUGAAUGGGCAAUUUAGGAUGUUUGGAGUCUGGGAGUAAGUCAGAAAGACCAGGAAAAACAUGCAAACUCCCAGAAACACUUCAUGGAUUUGAACCCAAAACCUUCUUGCUGUGAGGCAACAGGUUCAACCACUGCACUACCAGCAUAGAAGCUGUUAACAAAAACACAAAGUUAGCGUGUGGAUCUAUCGGAUACUAGCUGAGGUGGUUCAGGCAUCCAAUUAGAAUGCCUCCUGGGGGAGAUUUUCUGGGCAUGCCCUAUCGGAAAGAGGCCCCGGGGUAGGCCCAGGUCACGCCGGAGACAUUAGGUCCCUCAGCACUGCCUGGGAAUGCCUCGGUGCUUUCCCCGAAUGAGCUGAAGGAGGUGGCUGGGGAGAGGGAGGUUUGGGAUUCCCUUUUGAUCCAGCCCCAGAUGAGCUGGUGGAAAGUGGAUGGAUGGAUGUUUAAUUUCGAUGACUGAAACUGAACAAGAUGGUGAAACAUAGGAGUCACACACUGGGGCUUAUUGUAUCCCGACUCCUGCUUUCAUUUGACGUCAGUGUAAAUAGAACCAGUUUGAUUUGUCUUGCCUUGUCAGAAGCCAAUUUGUGUGGAGAAAAAGCCCCAGAUUUUACCUUUGUUACCACUCUUUGGCCAAGGCCUGAUAUAAGACUGUUACCUCGCUCGAGUUUUGACUGUAAAGGACUGUUCACUUCUCCUUCUGAAGAUAGUAUUUACUCUAUAUUUGUACUGAUUUUAUUUUGUAAUGCCAAAAGUUAAAGAAUUGAAUAAAAAAACAAAAAAAAAACUCACAUUGGUACAGCCGUUGAACCACUUUGCCAGGAAAACAAAAAACAAAACAUCCAAUCCUUUUGAUUCAGGAUAACUCAAGACUGUCUCCUUCUACUCCUGCAGCUACGAGACAGCAGCAUAUAUAGCAGUAUGUAUAUGUGACUGUACAUGGAAUAGUUCAGAUUAAUAUUACUACAACAUGUGGUGUACUUUGAAGGUAUCUUUGUGCAAUUCUACCUGCGGCUCUUCAGCGUGUCGUACGUAUGUGUGAGAGAGUAACCGUGCCGUUUUCUUGUUAAAAAUCACUGUCGCUUAUUGUGAGGAUAAUGUUGAGUAUAAUGUUAACAUAAUAACUGUCGAUUUAAAAAAAAAAAAGCCAAAACUUUUUCGUGUCAUCAUGGAUAUCAAGUUGAUUUUGUAUCUUGGUGUAAAGCAGAUUCAGAGAUUUCCGAUGCAUACUGAGUGAGAUGCUCUCACGUUUGUUGUGUCUGUUUGGUUGCACACAUCAUGUUUUCUUUGCUCUGUUUGUUUGGGGGUUUUUUUUGCUUUGUUUUUUUUUUUUUAGAAGGUGGGGUUGUUUUUAGAUUUCUUCCAUCUCACCGAUCAUCACUGAGAUUCUGCCAUAUUGGACGCAGACAUCUGCUUAACUCUGAACAGAAAACUGUGGAUUUUGUGUCAAAAUAAAUGUGC